ACUAAAAUAGCUUAUUAGAGCGUAAUUUUGAAGAAGUUGAGGAAGUUUUAAACUUUUUAGUA
rnacentral:tRNA from 1 species